GCAGUAGCCGCGGUAAUACGGAGGGUGCAAGCGUUAAUCGGAAUUACUGGGCGUAAAGCGCACGCAGGCGGUCUGACAAGUCAGAUGUGAAAUCCCCGGGCUUAACCUGGGAACUGCAUUUGAAACUGUCAGGCUGGAGUCUUGUAGAGGGGGGUGGAAUUCCAGGUGUAGCGGUGAAAUGCGUAGAGAUCUGGAGGAAUACCGGUGGCGAAGGCGGCCCCCUGGACAAAGACUGACGCUCAGGUGCGAAAGCGUGGGGAGCAAACAGGAUUAGAUACCCGAGUAGUCCCUGUCUCUUAUAC
rnacentral:rRNA from 1 species